UACGUAGGGUGCAAGCGUUGUCCGGAAUUAUUGGGCGUAAAGAGCUCGUAGGCGGUCUGUCGCGUCGGCUGUGAAAACUCGGGGCUCAACCCCGAGCCUGCAGUCGAUACGGGCAGACUAGAGUGCUGUAGGGGAGACUGGAAUUCCUGGUGUAGCGGUGAAAUGCGCAGAUAUCAGGAGGAACACCGGUGGCGAAGGCGGGUCUCUGGGCAGUAACUGACGCUGAGGCGCGAAAGCGUGGGGAGCGAACAGG
rnacentral:rRNA from 1 species